rnacentral:rRNA from 1 species
UACAGAGGGUGCGAGCGUUGUUCGGAAUUAUUGGGCGUAAAGGGCGCGUAGGCGGUGCGGUAAGUCACCUGUGAAAUCUCCUGGCUCAACUGGGAGCUUGCAGGCGAAACUGCCGUGCUGGAGUGUGGGAGAGGUGAGUGGAAUUCCCGGUGUAGCGGUGAAAUGCGUAGAUAUCAGGAGGAACACCUGUGGCGAAAGCGGCGCACUGGACCACAACUGACGCUGAGGCGCGAAAGCAUGGGGAGCGAACAGG